rnacentral:rRNA from 1 species
UAAGGAAUAUUGGACAAUGGCCGCAAGGCUGAUCCAGCCAUGCCGCGUGCAGGAUGAAGGUGCUCUGCAUUGUAAACUGCUUUUGUUUGGGAAUAAACCCCUGGUUUCUACCGGGGCUGAAUGUACCAAAAGAAUAAGGGUCGGCUAACUUCGUGCCAGCAGCCGCGGUAAUACGAAGGACCCAAGCGUUAUCCGGAUUUAUUGGGUUUAAAGGGUGCGUAGGCGGAUUAUUAAGUCAGUGGUGAAAGCCUACAGCUUAACUGUAGAAUUGCCAUUGAUACUGAUGAUCUUGAGUAUGAUUGAGGUGGGCGGAAUGUGUCAUGUAGCGGUGAAAUGCUUAGAUAUGACACAGAACACCGAUUGCGAAGGCAGCUCACUAAGCCAUAACUGACGCUGAUGCACGAAAGCGUGGGGAGCAAACAGGAUUAGAUACCCUGGUAGUCCACGCCCUAAACGAUGAUCACUCGAUGUGUGCGAUAUACUGUACGCGUCUGAGCGAAAGCAUUAAGUGAUCCACCUGGGGAGUACGACCGCAAGGUUGA